CAGUCGAACGAGACUUUUUAUUUGAUGCUUGCAUCUUUUAAAAAGUUGAGUGGCGAACGGGUGAGUAACACGUGGGUAACCUGCCUUAAAGUGGGGGAUAACACUUGGAAACAGGUGCUAAUACCGCAUAACCAUCAAAACCACCUGGUUUUGAUGUUAAAGAUGGUUCUGCUAUCGCUUUAAGAUGGACCCGCGGCGUAUUAGCUAGUUGGUGAGGUAACGGCUUACCAAGGCAAUGAUACGUAGCCGAACUGAGAGGUUGAUCGGCCACAUUGGGACUGAGACACGGCCCAAACUCCUACGGGAGGCAGCAGUAGGGAAUCUUCCACAAUGGACGAAAGUCUGAUGGAGCAACGCCGCGUGAGUGAAGAAGGUUUUCGGAUCGUAAAACUCUGUUGUCAGAGAAGAACGUGUGUGAGAGUAACUGUUCACGCAGUGACGGUAUCUGACCAGAAAGUCACGGCUAACUACGUGCCAGCAGCCGCGGUAAUACGUAGGUGGCAAGCGUUGUCCGGAUUUAUUGGGCGUAAAGGGAACGCAGGCGGUCUUUUAAGUCUGAUGUGAAAGCCUUCGGCUUAACCGAAGUCGGGCAUUGGAAACUGGGAGACUUGAGUGCAGAAGAGGAGAGUGGAACU
rnacentral:rRNA from 1 species